CGGUAAUACGUAGGGUGCAAGCGUUAAUCGGAAUUACUGGGCGUAAAGCGUGCGCAGGCGGUUAUGUAAGACAGGUGUGAAAUCCCAGGGCUUAACCUUGGAACUGCAUUUGUGACUGCAUAGCUAGAGUACGGUAGAGGGGGAUGGAAUUCCGCGUGUAGCAGUGAAAUGCGUAGAUAUGCGGAGGAACACCGAUGGCGAAGGCAAUCCCCUGGACCUGUACUGACGCUCAUGCACGAAAGCGUGGGGAGCAAACAGGAUUAGAUACCCUGGUAGUCCACGCCCUAAACGAUGUCAACUGGUUGUUGGGUCUUCACUGACUCAGUAACGAAGCUAACGCGUGAAGUUGACCGCCUGGGGAGUACGGCCGCAAGGUUGAA
rnacentral:rRNA from 1 species